UACGUAGGAUGCGAGCGUUGUCCGGAAUUAUUGGGCGUAAAGAGAACGUAGGCGGUUUGCCAAGUUUGAUCUUAAGGACCGGGGCUUAACUCCGGGAGUGGAUCGAAAACUGGCAGACUAGAGGACGUCAGAGGAAAGUGGAAUUCCCAGUGUAGCGGUGAAAUGCGCAGAUAUCAGGAGGAACACCGGUGGCGAAGGCGGGUCUCUGGGCAACUACUGACGCUGAGGAGCGAAAGCGUGGGGAGCGAACAGG
rnacentral:rRNA from 1 species